ensembl:lncRNA
UAUUAAAUUCCCCACAAAAAUCAUUCUUUCCAAUCUGAGCUUCCCUGAUACAAAAAAUACUUCUAGAAAACUUCCAUCAGCUGUGUAAGCAUGGAGCAGUUGCUUAACUUCUCUGAACCUGUUUCCUCACUCAAAACAGGAAGAGAAAUAAAAGUACCUACUUCAAAGUAUUGCUGGAGGGAUAAAAUGAAGUGAUACACCAGGUGAAGUGCUUUCAUGACCCCUGGCACUUUGCCAGUUCUCAAUCAGCUGUGGCUGUGAUCAAACAGAACCCUCUAAGGUAUCUGUUUUGUUACUGAAAAAUUCAGGGACCUAACUCAGAACUCCUCACUCCUUCUUCAGUUCCAGAAGGUCUGAUGUCCUGGGGUUUCCAGAGACUGGAAGGAAGGAAGCUCAGAAGACCGAGGCUCUGAGGAAGGCUGAGCUGCAGCCCCAGGAAGCAUAAGAAAGGAGGCAGAAUCAACAUAAGAUGUGUACUCCUGACCUUAUCCUGACUUCUACGAUAAUGGUUUUCUUUCUGGCCUGAUUACAUAGUGAAGAGGAGAAGGAAAUUAGAAAACUAUGUAAUAAGUGAUUUAGAACUUAAUAAACAGUGUAAGGUGAUGCUGAUGCUGCCCAUCUCUGCCCACACUUGACUUUGAGUUGCAGGUGUGACACAUUUCUCCCACAGAUGGAGUGCCUUUUGCUCUCUUCAUGGAGGUGUUGAUAUACUGUCUACUUAUGCAAGGCUGUCUGGAGGCCACAGGAGCCCUGAUCCCUGUAACAAGGGGCCUCCAAUAGGACUUCAGAUCUGCUCCUGGCCUCCGGGUCCACAUCUGCCUUUAGGUUUAGUAUGCACGUGUGUUAGUUGCCAGACUUCUCCAUCCAUAGGAUUUUCCAGGCAAGAAUACUGGAGUGGGUUGCCAUUUCCUUCUCCAGGGGAUCUUCCUGACCAGGGAUUGAACCUGGGUCUCCUGCAUUGCAGGCAGAUUCUUUACUAUCUGAGCCACCAGGGAAGCCCUAAUGGUUAGCAUAUCACCCACUAAGCCAAUGAUCUAGAAUGGCCCAGCCUGGACACAGCAGACAGCAGGUUCCUGGUUCUCAAAACAGUUCUUAUU